GACAGAGGGUGCAAACGUUGCUCGGAAUCACUGGGCGUAAAGGGCGUGUAGGCGGGAAGGAAAGUCAGAUGUGAAAUCCCUGGGCUCAACCCGGGAACUGCAUUUGAAACUCCCUUUCUUGAGUGUCGGAGAGGAGAGCGGAAUUCCUGGUGUAGAGGUGAAAUUCGUAGAUAUCAGGAGGAACACCGGUGGCGAAGGCGGCUCUCUGGACGAUAACUGACGCUGAGGCGCGAAAGCGUGGGGAGCAAAAAGG
rnacentral:rRNA from 1 species